UUGCUCACUUUAGCAGCACCUAUACUAAAAUUGGAAUGAUACAGAGCAGAUUAUUAUGGUCCCUGUGCAAGGAUGACAUGCAAAUUCGUGAAGCAUACCAUAUAUUU